rnacentral:rRNA from 1 species
GGGUUGUGAGGUUAAGCGACUAAGCGUACACGGUGGAUGCCCUGGCAGUCAGAGGCGAUGAAGGGCGUGCUAAUCUGCGAUAAGCGCCGGUAAGGUGAUAUGAACCGUUAUAACCGGCGAUACCCGAAUGGGGAAACCCAGUGUGAUUCGUCACACUAUCAUUAACUGAAUCCAUAGGUUAAUGAGGCGAACCGGGGGAACUGAAACAUCUAAGUACCCCGAGGAAAAGAAAUCAACCGAGAUUCCCCCAGUAGCGGCGAGCGAACGGGGAGGAGCCCAGAGCCUGAAUCAGCAUGUGUGUUAGUGGAAGCGUCUGGAAAGGCGCGCGAUACAGGGUGACAGCCCCGUACACAAAAGCGCAUGUGCUGUGAGCUCGAUGAGUAGGGCGGGACACGUGGUAUCCUGUCUGAAUAUGGGGGGACCAUCCUCCAAGGCUAAAUACUCCUGACUGACCGAUAGUGAACCAGUACCGUGAGGGAAAGGCGAAAAGAACCCCGGCGAGGGGAGUGAAAAAGAACCUGAAACCGUGUACGUACAAGCAGUGGGAGCCCCACCACUAAGCCAGUGGUGAACUCCACAUCCGCAUCCUUUGCUGAGGAUACGGUUAACGGAGCGAAAGCGACGUUCAACCGCAAAACAAGCAGAGGGGGCUUAGUGGUGGGGUGACUGCGUACCUUUUGUAUAAUGGGUCAGCGACUUAUAUUCUGUAGCAAGGUUAACCGAAUAGGGGAGCCGGAGGGAAACCGAGUCUUAAUUGGGCGUUAAGUUGCAGGGUAUAGACCCGAAACCCGGUGAUCUAGCCAUGGGCAGGUUGAAGGUUGGGUAACACUAACUGGAGGACCGAACCGACUAAUGUUGAAAAAUUAGCGGAUGACCUGUGGCUGGGGGUGAAAGGCCAAUCAAACCGGGAGAUAGCUGGUUCUCCCCGAAAGCUAUUUAGGUAGCGCCUCGUGAAUUCAUCUCCGGGGGUAGAGCACUGUUUCGGCUAGGGGGCCAUCCCGGCUUACCAACCCGAUGCAAACUGCGAAUACCGGAGAAUGUUAUCACGGGAGACACACGGCGGGUGCUAACGUCCGUCGUGAAGAGGGAAACAACCCAGACCGCCAGCUAAGGUCCCAAAGUCAUGGUUAAGUGGGAAACGAUGUGGGAAGGCCCAGACAGCCAGGAUGUUGGCUUAGAAGCAGCCAUCAUUUAAAGAAAGCGUAAUAGCUCACUGGUCGAGUCGGCCUGCGCGGAAGAUGUAACGGGGCUAAACCAUGCACCGAAGCUGCGGCAGCGAACGUAUCACCCAAGACAACUUUACGGAGUUGACGAUUGACGGAGCGAAGCGACGUCAAAGCGUUCAUUAAAGUCGAGUUGGCUUAGGGAUACGUUCGUUGGGUAGGGGGGGUGUCUGUAAGCCUGUGAAGGUGUGUCGUGAGGCAUGCUGGAGGUAUCAGAAGUGCGAAUGCUGACAUAAGUAACGAUAAAGCGGGUGAAAAGCCCGCUCGCCGGAAGACCAAGGGUUCCUGUCCAACGUUAAUCGGGGCAGGGUGAGUCGACCCCUAAGGCGAGGCCGAAAGGCGUAGUCGAUGGGAAACGGGUUAAUAUUCCCGUACUUGGUGUUACUGCGAAGGGGGGACGGAGAAGGCUAUGUUGGCCGGGCGACGGUUGUCCCGGUUUAAGCGUGUAGGUGUGUGUUCCGGUGUAAAUCCGGUUCACUUUAACACUGAGGCGUGACGACGAGGCACUACGGUGCUGAAGCAACAAAUGCCCUGCUUCGGGAAAAAGCCUCUAAGCAUCAGGUAACAUCAAAUCGUACCCCAAACCGACACAGGUGGUCAGGUAGAGAAUACCAAGGCGCUUGAGAGAACUCGGGUGAAGGAACUAGGCAAAAUGGUGCCGUAACUUCGGGAGAAGGCACGCUGACACGUAGGUGAAGUGAUUUACUCAUGGAGCUGAAGUCAGUCGAAGAUACCAGCUGGCUGCAACUGUUUAUUAAAAACACAGCACUGUGCAAACACGAAAGUGGACGUAUACGGUGUGACGCCUGCCCGGUGCCGGAAGGUUAAUUGAUGGGGUCAGCGCAAGCGAAGCUCCUGAUCGAAGCCCCGGUAAACGGCGGCCGUAACUAUAACGGUCCUAAGGUAGCGAAAUUCCUUGUCGGGUAAGUUCCGACCUGCACGAAUGGCGUAAUGAUGGCCAGGCUGUCUCCACCCGAGACUCAGUGAAAUUGAACUCGCUGUGAAGAUGCAGUGUACCCGCGGCAAGACGGAAAGACCCCGUGAACCUUUACUAUAGCUUGACACUGAACAUUGAGCCUUGAUGUGUAGGAUAGGUGGGAGGCUUUGAAGUGUGGACGCCAGUCUGCAUGGAGCCGACCUUGAAAUACCACCCUUUAAUGUUUGAUGUUCUAACGUGGACCCGUAAUCCGGGUUGCGGACAGUGUCUGGUGGGUAGUUUGACUGGGGCGGUCUCCUCCUAAAGAGUAACGGAGGAGCACGAAGGUUGGCUAAUCCUGGUCGGACAUCAGGAGGUUAGUGCAAUGGCAUAAGCCAGCUUGACUGCGAGCGUGACGGCGCGAGCAGGUUCGAAAGCAGGUCAUAGUGAUCCGGUGGUUCUGAAUGGAAGGGCCAUCGCUCAACGGAUAAAAGGUACUCCGGGGAUAACAGGCUGAUACCGCCCAAGAGUUCAUAUCGACGGCGGUGUUUGGCACCUCGAUGUCGGCUCAUCACAUCCUGGGGCUGAAGUAGGUCCCAAGGGUAUGGCUGUUCGUUCAUUUUAAAGUGGUACGCGAGCUGGGUUUAGAACGUCGUGAGACAGUUCGGUCCCCUAUCUGCCGUGGGCGCUGGAGAACUGAGGGGGCUGCUCCCUAGUACGAGAGGACCGGAGUGGACGCAUCACUGGUGUUCGGGUUGUCAUGCCAAUGGCACUGCCCGGUAGCUAAAUGCGGAAGAGAUAAGUGCUGAAAGCAUCUAAGCACGAAACUUGCCCCGAGAUGAGUUCUCCCUGAGACUUAGAGUCUCCUGAAGGAACGUUGAAGACGACGACGUUGAUAGGCCGGGUGUGUAAGCGCAGCGAUGCGUUGAGCUAACCGGUACUAAUGAACCGUGAGGCUUAACCUUACAACGCCGAAG